rfam:Stegodyphus mimosarum contig16814, whole genome shotgun sequence.
GCCUUCGUGGUGUAGCGGUCAUCACGCUCGACGCGUAACCAAGAGGUCCGUGGUUCGAUUCUCGGCGAAGGCG